UAGUUUACCACUUCCAACGUAAUCGCAGAAUAAUUCCUCUUGGAAGUUGAUAAUCUGCGUAUAGUGUCGUACAAUAGUCACACACCAGUUCCUUUAGGUAAACUAUUUGUUAUAUUGGCUAAUAUGAUAAUUAUAGAAUGGUCACUCAACAAUGUUUCCACUAGGACGAACAACCCCACUCGCUUAUGAAACCUCAGUUCCAUGGUAUAGCAGGUCGACGUUUUACUUAAAGAAUAUCCACACCUUUCCAGUUUUGGAUGCUAACCGGGGUAACUCAAUCAUCUUCCAAGACUGAAUAACAUUAUGAUUGUGGCGCUUCCUGGCUUUCCACUUUCCCUUACAUAUCCAGUCACGCGGCAAUUUCAAAAUACACGUUAGAAUAUUUUCGCGAACGGUGAGUUUAUUUGACGGUUUAAAAUUGUUUGUAUUUGUCACACACUACUACUACUACUACUGUGACUACUCUACCACGGAACCAGGUGCCUGCCUCUCAACUCGUGGCGCUGCCACGUGUAUAGCUUGAGGCAUACUGGAUACGUGACCUCUAGCAGGCUACCAAGCCGAUAACGAGGGGUGGAGUUCCAUCGAGCUUCAGUCUCCUCCAAGGGUCGCUACAGCUCUGAGGUCGCCUUGGCAUACGCUGGGAGCCUCAUAUACACUCGAGAGCGGUGAACCCCGCGUGGCUGUAGUGCAUCCCCUCUUAUGCUGUUGUCCUGCUUGAUAUGCUGCGGUGGAGCUUCUAUCGUCCUGGAAGAGCAAGGAAGGGCAGCACGAUAAGCCUUUGUGUAACAUGUCCUGCCUGUGUUUCAGCGGCAGCCAUGGAGAGUCUAGUUUAUAAUUCCGAGAUGCAGGGAAGGGAAGAAAUAACGUCACAUUUGUGUAGAGACGGGAGGGAAGAAGGGAUGGAGGGAAUAAAUAGUUCAACAAACAUAUCUAUUAGAUUUUAGUUUCGUUGCAUCAGAUUGUCUAGGGUUACUCUAGUUAAAUAGUUCUCGUCUUACUGUAAUUUCCAGUCAAGAGUAAUUCAACGCUUGAUUUCAGCGUGGCGGUAAGAACUAUAGAGGGAAUGAUGAAACUCGAAAAGGUAGAAGCCACGCUAAACUUUGGCAUCUCAGCUGUACAGAGGCCAGGAGUUCAUUUGUUAUUUAAUAUCGAUAAAUUGCAAUUUAAUAUCGAUAAAUUGCAAUUUAAUAUCGAUAAAUUGCAAUUUAAUAUCGAUAAAUGCAAAGUCCUUAGCGUAGGUAGAGGAAACCCACACAAUAGGUACACAUUAAACACCCAAACUCUGGUAGGUACAGGGUACGAGAAAGAUUUAGGAGUUAUAGUUAGCUCUGAACUCCGUCUAGGGAAACAAUGCAUAGAAGCCAGAAACAAGGCAAAUAGGGUACUAGGAUUCAUUUUUAGGAGUGUUAAAAGUAGAAGGCCGGAAGUAAUAUUAAAGUUAUACUUGGCGCUGGUCAGACCUCAUCUAGACUACGCUGUGCAGUUCUGGUCCCCACAUUACAGGAAAGAUAUAGGUCUAUUAGAAUCAGUACAGAGGAGAAUGACUAAAAGGAUACAGGGGAUGAGGAGUAUUCCUUACGAAGCGAGGUUGAAGCGGUUAAAUUUACAUUCUCUAGAGAGACGUAGGUUAAGAGGGGACCUGAUAGAAGUCUUUAAGUGGUAUAAGGGUUAUAACAAGGGAGAUGUAAGCAAAAUUCUUAGGAUCAGCAACCAGGGUAGAACAAGAAAUAACGGGUUCAAGCUUGAAAAAUUUAGGUUUAGGAAGGAGAUAGGAAAAAAUUGGUUCUCGAAUAGAGUGGUAGAUGAGUGGAACGGACUCAGUAAUCAUGUAGUUAGUGCUAGGACACUAGAGAGCUUUAAGAGAAGAUUAGACAAGUUUAUGGAUGGGGAUAACAGAUGGAAAUAGGUAGGAGUGUUUCAUACAGGGACUGCCACGUGUAAGCCUGGUCGCUUCUUGCAGCUUCCCUUAUUUCUUAUGUUCUUAUGUUCUUAUUUGUGGUUAAGGUCAAAACUUGUGGUCUUUCAUAUUUUAUAAAGGAACACUUUUCAAUAAAGGGCCAGAAAGCC